UGGGGAAUAUUGCGCAAUGGACGAAAGUCUGACGCAGCGACGCCGCGUGUGGGAGGAAGCCUUUCGGGGUGUAAACCACUGUCAGAGGGGAAGAACAAGCCGGUCGCGAAUAGCUGCCGGCCUUGACGGUACCCUCAGAGGAAGCGCCGGCUAACUCCGUGCCAGCAGCCGCGGUAAUACGGAGGGCGCAAGCGUUGUUCGGAAUUACUGGGCGUAAAGCGCGGGCAGGCGGUCUGUUAAGUCUUUUGUGAAACUCCGGGGCUCAACUCCGGACAUGCAGAAGAUACUGGCAGACUAGAGACCAGUAGAGGCUAGCGGAAUUCCUGGUGUAGCGGUGGAAUGCGUAGAUAUCAGGAAGAACACCUGUGGCGAAGGCGGCUAGCUGGGCUGGGUCUGACGCUCAUCCGCGAAAGCGUGGGGAGCAAACAGGAUUAGAUACCCCCGUAGUCC
rnacentral:rRNA from 1 species